UACAGAGAGUGCAAACGUUGUUCGGAAUUACUGGGCUUGAAGCGCACGUAGGCGGCACCGUAAGUGUCGGGUGAAAUCCCACGGCUCACCCGUGGAACUGCCCGGCAUACUGCGGUGCUCGAGUGUGGUAGGGGAGAGCGGAACUCCUGGUGGAGCGGUGAAAUGCGUAGAUAUCAGGAGGAACACCGGUGGCGAAGGCGGCUCUCUGGUCCAUGACUGACGCUGAGGUGCGAAAGCUAGGGGGGCAAACAGG
rnacentral:rRNA from 1 species